AAUCAAAGUAGCGUCAAGUACUUCGACUACAAGGGGAGGGAAGCUUGGUAGACAGCUUCGCGUCCUCGCCGCUUCUUUCUGGCGACUAGCUUCUCAAGUGGGUGGCUUGGUAAGCAAGCCACCUUCAGUAUAGGUCAAAUCCCCCUCAAUAAUAGGCCGAAAUGGUGGGGAAGGAGGCCCCCCUACUUUAGUUCUGCUCAUCUAACUAAUGUACUAAUGUAAUUCCACGCAAAUAUGGUUGCCCGGAGAAUCCAU
rnacentral:lncRNA from 1 species